rnacentral:rRNA from 1 species
UCAAGCGACAGAGGUUUAUGGCGGAUGCCUGGGAGCUGUGAGGCGAAGAAGGCCGUGGUAAGCUGCGAAAAGCCGGGAGGAGAAGCACACAUUCCGUGAUUCCCGGAUAGCCGAAUGGGGUAACCCGGCGACAGAGAUGUCGUCAUUACGAUACCUGAAUAAAAUAGGGUAGUAAAGCCAGACUAAGUGAAGUGAACCAUCUAAGUAACUUAAGGAAAAGAAAUCAAGAAGAGGAGCGAUCCUCCGGAGAUUCCGAAAGUAGCGGCGAGCGAAAUCGGAGGAGCCCAAACCCGGUUAAACGGGGGUUGUAGGGCCGCAUGGGGAUGACCCGAAGAGUUAUGAGAAAACUUAUUUAUAGUGGAAAGGUUUGGGAAGGCCUGACAGAGAGGGUGAAAUCCCCGUACACGAAAUGAAUAAGACUCUUUGAUGCGGUACCUGAGUACGGCGGGGCACGAGGAACCUUGCCGGAAGCGGGGUCGACCACGAUCCAAGGCUAAAUACUCCACAGCUACCGAUAGUGCAGCAGUACCGUGAGGGAAAGGCGAAAAGAACCCCUGUAAGGGGAGUGAAAUAGAACCUGAAACCAUAAACUAACAAGAUGUUACGGCGCGAAAGCGUUGUAGCGUGCCUUUUGUAGAAUGAACCUGCGAGUUAUCUUAUGCAGCGAGGUUAAGGGAUGGGAGUCCCGGAGCCUGAGGGAAACCGAGUCUUAACAGGGCGAAAUAAAGUUGCAUGAGGUAGACCCGAAGCCAAGGUGAUCUAGUCAUGAGCAGGUUGAAGCAAGGGUAAAACCUUGUGGAGGACCGAACUAUAAUCUGUUAAAAAAGGUAUGGAUGACUUGUGACUCGGAGUGAAAGGCUAAACAAACCUGGAAAUAGCUGGCUCUCCCCGAAAUGCCUUUAGGGACAGCCUUAUACAAAUUUAGCGGAGGUAAAGCACUGGAUGGACUAGGGGGCGUCACUGCCUACCAAACCCAAUCAAACUCAGAAUGCCGCAAAACAACGUAUAGGAGUGAGACUGCGUGCGACAAGGUUCGUAGUCGAAAGGGAAACAGCCCGGACCAACAACUAAGGUCCCGAAAUACCGCUAAGUGUAAAAUGAAGUUUGGAUGCACAGACAGCCAGGAGGUUGGCUUAGAAGCAGCCAUUCCUUAAAAGAGUGCGUAAUAGCUCACUGGUCGAGCAUACAAGCGCAGAUAAUGUAACGGGGCUAAGCGGUAUACCGAAGUUUUGGAUCUAACACGUUUUGUGUUAGGUGGUAGGGGAGCAUUCCAUGGGCUGAUGAAGCAAUACCCGUGAGGGGUUGUGGAGGUAGUGGAAGAGAGAAUGCAGGCAUAAGUAACGCAAAGACGGGUGAGAUUCCCGUCCGCCGAAAACCUAAGGUUUCCUGGGUAAAGGCAAUCUGCCCAGGGUAAGUCGGCCCCUAAGGCGAGGACGAAAGUCGUAGUCGAUGGGAAAUCGGUUCAAAAUCCGAUACCUUUAUCAGUUUCGAGGGCAAGACGCAUGAGGUGAAACCCGGCCGGAGAAUGGUAGUUCCGGUCGAAGCAACGAGCUUUUGAGAGCGACAGGCAAAUCCGUCGUUUGAGGUAAGUUGUGACAGCCAACGGAGAGAAAGUCGAAGUGAAGCGGGUGUAAUCAAGGUGCCGGGAAAUAUUGUCUAAGGCUAGGCUGAUAAAGACCGUACCGUAAACCGACACAGGUAGGAAGGAUGAGAAAUCUAAGGCGCACGAGAGAACUCGCGUUAAGGAACUCGGCAAAAUGCACACGUAACUUCGGAAGAAGUGUGGCCCGAUUCGGUAAAAGAAGAGGGUGGCACAGAGCAGGCCCAGGCGACUGUUUAUCAAAAACACAGCCAUCUGCUAAUCAGCAAUGAAACGUAUAGGUGGUGACACCUGCCCGGUGCCGGAAGGUUAAGAGGAGAUGUGAGGGGAGCCCCAAAGCAUUGAAUUGAAGCCCCGGUAAACGGCGGCCGUAACUAUAACGGUCCUAAGGUAGCGAAAUUCCUUGUCGGGUAAGUUCCGACCCGCACGAAUGGUGUAACGAUUCUGGGCACUGUCUCAACGCGAGACUCGGUGAAAUUUAUAUACCGGUAAAGAAGCCGGUUACCCACAGUUAGACGGUAAGACCCCGUGAACCUUCACCGUAACUUACUAUUGGGAUUUUAUUUAUCAUGUGUAGAAUAGGUGGGAGACUGUGAUGCGUGGUCGUUAGGCUGCGCGGAGUCGCAAAGUGAAAUACCACUCUUGAUGAAUGAAAUUUCUAACCUGUGCCGUGAAGCCGGUAUAGGGACAAUGGUAGGCAGGCGGUUUGACUGGGGCGGUCGCCUCCUAAAGAGUAACGGAGGUGCGCGAAGGUCUCCUCACGCCGGUUGGAAAUCGGCGCAGCGAGUGUAAAGGCACAAGGAGGCUUAACUGCGAGAGUGACAGCUCAAGCAGAUACGAAAGUAGGUCUUAGUGAUCUGGCGGUAGCGA